rnacentral:piRNA from 1 species
UGGGCUGGCAUCCUACUGUCUUGUUGCCUA